CGUGUGUUUCGAGCGAUCCACCAGUGUCGUCAGUGAGUGCCCUAGUACAGCUCCCGUCCGAACUGCCUUUGUUCUGCCGAGCUGCUGCCGGCGCUGUUCUGCCGAGCUGUUCUGCCGGCGCUCUCGUCAAAAGUCUGGUACUGGGGCUUCGAAUUGUAGUGUUUGGAAGACUGUUGAAGGUUGUGCUUUUGUGGAGCUGGAGUUCAUCGGCAGUUCUACAGUGCUUGCGCCAGAGAAACGUCGGUGCUUCUGUACCUGUUAGACGAAGGAGCGUUUGCCAAGUCUUGAAAGGUAGACAUCGGUGACGGUGUAUACGUUGAAAAGGGCCUGCUGAAGAGGCUGUGCCUGGAUGCUAACAACUCAGGCUUUCACUUCGCGGAGGGCCUCCUUAAAGCUCCUUUUUCAAUAGGAGACGUUGAAGGGAGGUCCUUCUUUGGGCGGCUGUCAAAUGCCUUCCACAGAAGGAUCUGUUGGAUUCCAAGAAGGUCAACACCAUAGUAGACUACACAACGCAACAUUUCAGCCUACUUCCAGGGCAGCUGGAGAACUCGUCCCCCUUACUAGCCCGGGGAUAUUAAAUGGAUGUGUUCAAGCACAAA